GGUGUUCUUAAAAUAGGUACAGAUCCCUUGUGUGUUUGGAGGCGAGGGUGUACUUGUGAACACAAUGAAAUCAACGGGCUGUUGCAUAGAGGGAGGAGAGAAAGAUGACAAACUAUUUCUUUCAAUGAAGAAUGGUUUCUGGGAAGAGAGCAUUCUGGAGUGGGACGGAGACAAAACACUGUAUCUGGAAUUCAUUUUCUUCAUUGAAGAUUUUCCAGAUUCAGAUCUCAGCUCCUGACAAGGGAUUCAGGGCAGAACUAAAAUAUGAUGACUGACUUGGCAGCAGG